rnacentral:rRNA from 1 species
AUGCACCAAGCGACCAGCACAUCAGUCAAAAGGCUGAUUGCUGGCUCAUUUGGCACUAUCUCUAAUUGGAAGUACAAUGCACCUCAACCUAGUGCUGAGCAAUCCCGGAUGCAAAUUGCUAACAACAAGGUCAUUCCUUUGCAUUUGCCUCCUGGUGAUACUUCAACUGAAAGAACACUGUAUAUUGACGGUACUGCAGAGCGAAUUGAAAUAGCAAAGCAGCUUGAGUGA